GCAACGGAUCUCUUGGCUCUCGCAUCGAUGAAGAACGCAGCGAAAUGCGAUAAGUAAUGUGAAUUGCAGAAUUCAGUGAAUCAUCGAAUCUUUGAACGCACCUUGCGCUCCUUGGUAUUCCGAGGAGCAUGCCUGUUUGA
rnacentral:rRNA from 1 species